rnacentral:rRNA from 1 species
UUGUCGAACGCGUUAUUCUUUAUAGCUUGCUACGGAUUUGGUUAGUGGCAGACGGGUGAGUAAUGCAUAGGAAUCUACCUAGUAGUAUGGGAUAGCCACUGGAAAUGGUGGGUAAUACCGUAUAAUCCCCGCGGGGGAAAGAUUUAUCGCUAUUAGAUGAGCCUAUGUCGGAUUAGCUAGUUGGUGGGGUAAUGGCCUACCAAGGCAGUGAUCUGUAGCUGGUCUGAGAGGAUGAUCAGCCACACUGGAACUGAGACACGGUCCAGACUCCUACGGGAGGCAGCAGUGGGGAAUAUUGGACAAUGGGCGCAAGCCUGAUCCAGCUAUGCCGCGUGAGUGAGGAAGGCCUUAGGGUUGUAAAACUCUUUCAGUAGGGAAGAUAAU